GCGUGGGUGAAGAAGGUCUUCGGAUCGUAAAGCCCUUUCGGCGGGGACGAUGAUGACGGUACCCGCAGAAGAAGCCCCGGCUAACUUCGUGCCAGCAGCCGCGGUAAUACGAAGGGGGCUAGCGUUACUCGGAAUUACUGGGCGUAAAGGGCGCGUAGGCGGCUUGCUUAGUCAGACGUGAAAUUCCUGGGCUCAACCUGGGGGCUGCGUUUGAGACGGGCGGGCUUGAGGAUGGAAGAGGCUCGUGGAAUUCCCAGUGUAGAGGUGAAAUUCGU
rnacentral:rRNA from 1 species